AAGGCCGCUACCUGGCGACAGGAUGCCAAUCCCCAAAACCUCUCUCAGUUCGGAUCGAAGUCUACAACCCGACUUCGUGAAGCUGGAUUCGCUAGUAAUCGCGCAUCAGCCAUGGCGCGGUGAAUACGUUCCCGGGCCUUGUACACACCGCCCGUCAAGCCAUGAAAGCCGGGGGUACCUGAAGUACGUAACCGCAAGGAUCGUCCUAGGGUAAAACUGGUAAUUGGGGCUAAGUCGUAACAAGGUAAC
rnacentral:rRNA from 1 species